rnacentral:rRNA from 1 species
UGGGGAAUUUUGGACAAUGGGCGAAAGCCUGAUCCAGCAAUGCCGCGUGUGUGAAGAAGGCCUUCGGGUUGUAAAGCACUUUUGUCCGGAAAGAAAUCCUUGGCUCUAAUACAGUCGGGGGAUGACGGUACCGGAAGAAUAAGCACCGGCUAACUACGUGCCAGCAGCCGCGGUAAUACGUAGGGUGCAAGCGUUAAUCGGAAUUACUGGGCGUAAAGCGUGCGCAGGCGGUUUGCUAAGACCGAUGUGAAAUCCCCGGGCUCAACCUGGGAACUGCAUUGGUGACUGGCAGGCUAGAGUAUGGCAGAGGGGGGUAGAAUUCCACGUGUAGCAGUGAAAUGCGUAGAGAUGUGGAGGAAUACCGAUGGCGAAGGCAGCCCCCUGGGCCAAUACUGACGCUCAUGCACGAAAGCGUGGGGAGCAAACAGGAUUAGAUACCCUGGUAGUCCACGCCCUAAACGAUGUCAACUAGUUGUUGGGGAUUCAUUUCCUUAGUAACGUAGCCAACGCGUGAAGUUGACCGCCUGGGGAGUACGGUCGCAAGAUUAAAACUCAAAGGAAUUGAC